CAAUGCCCCUCCAGUGCAGCC
rnacentral:miRNA from 1 species